CCUACGGGGUGCAGCAGUGGGGAAUAUUGCGCAAUGGGCGAAAGCCUGACGCAGCGACGCCGCGUGAGGGAUGAAGGUCUUCGGAUCGUAAACCUCUGUCAGCAGGGAAGAACGGUCACUGUGCUAAUCAGCAGUGAAUUGACGGUACCUGCAAAGGAAGCACCGGCUAACUCCGUGCCAGCAGCCGCGGUAAUACGGAGGGUGCGAGCGUUAAUCGGAAUUACUGGGCGUAAAGCGCUCGUAGGCGGUAUGUCAAGUCAAGGGUGAAAUCCCCGCGCUCAACGUGGGAACUGCCUUUGAAACGGGCAAACUGGAGUGUGUGAGAGGAUAGUGGAAUUCCAGGUGUAGGAGUGAAAGCCGUAGAUAUCUGGAGGAACAUCAGUGGCGAAGGCGACUAUCUGGCACAUAACUGACGCUGAGGAGCGAAAGCGUGGGUAGCAAACAGGAUUAGAUACCCCAGUAGUC
rnacentral:rRNA from 1 species